UCAGUUAAGUCUUUCUUUCCUGGGAUAAGCAUCCAGCCUGACACACAGUAGGUGCUCAACUAAUUUCAUUUUCUCUAGGUCUCCGGGCCCGCGGGACCCCGCAGGAUGACACAUGGGCGUUGCACGUGCCAUCAGGAGGGGCCGCGGAGUCACCUUGGCCUAAGCGCGCCUGAAUGGAGGUCUGCGCGACACGCAGUGGUCUCCUGCUGAUGGGGCUGUUUGAAGAAGAGGAAAGCAGGGUAGUGGAAGCCAAGCCAAGCCAGCCGUACAGAACCCCAGCUUCAGCCCCAUGCAGAUGAACCAUGAGCCUCACUCUGCACACCAAAUGUGCUUCUGUAAAGUUGUGCAUAAGCCAAAUUUGUUGUACUUCACAUCUUACAUUCCAUCUUGGUUCCAUGAUCCCUAUGAACUUCUUGCAGAAAUUUGCCUCUAAGUAUGGCCACUUACCGGAGAAGGCGAUGGCACCCCACUCCAGUACUCUUGCCUGAAAAAUCCCAUGGAUGGAGG